AUGGCGGCACCCCCUCUCCUCCUGCUCGCGGCCCUCCUGCUGCUGCUCCCGGCCGCCGCGCGGUCCGCGCCCGCCCGCGUCUUCUCCGUCGCGGACUACGGCGCGGCGGGCGACGGGUCGCGCUACGACACGGCGGCCAUCCAGGCGGCCGUCGACGCCUGCGCGGCGGCGGGGGGCGGCCGCGUGCUCCUCCCGGCGCCCGGGGACUACCUGACGGCGACCGUGCGCCUCCGCUCGCGCGUGGUGCUCGAGGUGGCCCCCGGCGCGCGGCUGCUGGGCGGGACCCGGCAGCGGGACUACCCGCCCGAGUUCCGCCGCUGGUACGUCGUGCUGGCCGAGAACACCACCGGCGCGGGCGUCACCGGCGGCGGCGAGAUCAACGGCCAGGGCGGCGCCUUCGUGGUCACGCCCAGCGCGCAGAAGAACGUCAUGGUCAGCUGGAACGCCACGGGGGACUGCCUGGGCGACGAGUGCCGCCCGCGGCUCGUCGGCUUCAUCGACUCCAAGGACGUCGCGGUCCAUGACAUCACCCUCAACCAGCCGGCCCUGUGGUGCCUGCAUCUUGUCAGGUGUGACAACUCGGUGAUCCGCAAUGUCUCUAUAUACGGGGAUUUCGACACUCCUAACAAUGACGGGAUUGACAUCGAAGAUUCAAACAACACGGUCAUCACCGAUUGCCACAUAGACACCGGAGAUGAUGCGAUCUGCCCAAAGUCUAGCACAGGGCCUGUUUACAACUUGACAGCAACAAAUUGCUGGAUCCGUACUAAAUCGUGCGCUAUCAAAUUUGGAAGUGCAAGCUUUUUCAACUUUGAGAAGCUGCUCUUUGACAACAUUACUAUAGUUGAUUCACAUCGAGGACUUGGAAUGCAGAUCCGUGAUGGAGGGAAUGUUAGUGAUGUGACAUUUUCAAACAUCAAAAUGCGGACUAGGUACUACCAUCCUUCAUGGUGGGGGAGAGCUGAACCGAUCUACAUCACUACCUGUCCAAGGCACCCUGAUUCCAAAGAAGGCACCAUUUCAGAUGUUCGUUUCAUCAACAUCUCAUCAGUAUCAGAAAACGGUGUUUUCCUGGCUGGAUCGAAGCACGGAUUGCUUCGCAACUUGAAGUUCAAGAAUGUUGAGCUGACCUACAAGAGGUGGACAAACUACACUGGGGGCCUGUAUGACUACAGACCUGGAUGCCGGAAGAUGGUGAAGCACAAGACUGGCGGUAUGAUGCUGGAGCACAUCUCAGGCCUGGAGGUUGACAAUGUCAGCAUGAGAUGGUGGAGAGGAAGCCUGGAAGGGUGGGAUGUUAACCCGCUCCUCUUCCGGCCAUCCACUAUUGACGGGCUGUCGUUCCACGAUUGGCAAUCGCUGGAUGUUCAAUAG
rnacentral:rRNA from 1 species